GGUCCUUUGGCUUAGUGGUUAGAUCAUACGCCUCAGAUGCGGGGGGUCAUGGGUUUGAACCCCAGCCAAGUCAUACCAAAGACC